rnacentral:rRNA from 1 species
UACGUAGGGUGCGAGCGUUGUCCGGAAUUAUUGGGCGUAAAGAGCUUGUAGGUGGCUCGUCGCGUCGGGAGUGAAAACCCGCGGCUUAACCGCGGGCCUGCUUUCGAUACGGGCGGGCUAGAGUUCGGCAGGGGAGACUGGAAUUCCUGGUGUAGCGGUGGAAUGCGCAGAUAUCAGGAGGAACACCGGUGGCGAAGGCGGGUCUCUGGGCCGUUACUGACGCUGAGGAGCGAAAGCGUGGGGAGCGAACAGG